AAAUUGAAGAGUUUGAUCAUGGCUCAGAUUGAACGCUGGCGGCAGGCCUAACACAUGCAAGUCGAACGGUAACAGGAAGCAGCUUGCUGCUUUGCUGACGAGUGGCGGACGGGUGAGUAAUGUCUGGGAAACUGCCUGAUGGAGGGGGAUAACUACUGGAAACGGUGGCUAAUACCGCAUAACGUCGCAAGACCAAAGAGGGGGACCUUCGGGCCUCUUGCCAUCAGAUGUGCCCAGAUGGGAUUAGCUGGUUGGUGAGGUAACGGCUCACCAAGGCGACGAUCCCUAGCUGGUCUGAGAGGAUGACCAGCCACACUGGAACUGAGACACGGUCCAGACUCCUACGGGAGGCAGCAGUGGGGAAUAUUGCACAAUGGGCGCAAGCCUGAUGCAGCCAUGCCGCGUG
rnacentral:rRNA from 1 species